rnacentral:rRNA from 1 species
AACGAACGCUAGCGGCAUGCCUAACACAUGCAAGUCGAACGAGACCUUCGGGUCUCGUGGCGCACGGGAGCGUAACGCCUAGGAACCUGCUAUUAGGUACGGAAUCACUCCUCGAAAGGGGUGCUAAUACCGGAUACUGUCUUCGGACCAAAGUUUUAUCGCUUUUGGCUGGGUCCGCGUUGGAUUGUCUAGUUGGCAGGGUAAAAGCCUACCAAGGCGACGAUCCAUAGUUGGUGUGAGAGGAAGAUCAGCCACACUGGGACUAAGACACGGCCCAGACUCCUACGGGAGGCAGCAGUGGGGAAUAGAGGACCGUGGGCUAAAUCCUGAUCCAUCAAGGCCGCGUGAGUGAUGUAGGUCGUAAGGUAGUAAUGCUCUUUUACCCGAGAUGAUAAUGACAGUACCGGGAGAAUAAGCUCCGGCUAACUCCGUG